GUGUACCCUCUAUUUUACAUAGGACAAAACUGCUCAUGCCCUCCUUAAUGAAAAAAAAAACCAGUUCUUGGUUGAGGUAAGUUGAAUUAGCCUAACUGGGUCCCCAAAAAAGACAUUUUUUUCUUCUUGCUACAAGUUACCAAAAUAAUACAUGCAGAUUUUUUGAUACUCCCUGUCACUGAUUCCAUGGCAAAGCUAUAUAAGCUCAUUAAAGCUCUAAGUGAUGGCUGUAAAUUUCCCUAGAGAAAGGGAGAGGAAGUCAUAAUGAUGAUACACAGAACUGCAUGAAAUAAGGCAACAAGCAGCAAGAUGAAUAUUUUCCAGUUAGUAUAACACCUUCCGGGUUGAUUGUCUUUAAUUAGCAAGCACUGCAACAUUAUAUUUACUAGAGAAAAAUACACUGACUGAUAGCUCUUUUUAUGUUUGUCUUUGAUAGAAUACCAUUAACUAACAUCGUCAUUCCAUUACUCUGGAUGCCAAGAACACCACCACAUCAACAUAAAGCUAAGAUGCAGCCAUGAAACUCUGAAGCUUGAAGGAAGACAGAGAAAAUGAAGACAGAGAAAAGCCUUAAGGAUUGUACCAUGGGUACUCCAAUAUCUAGAAAGAGGUGAGGAGGAAGAAAAACAAAGCUGUGGGGAGCAAUCCGGACUGGACUAAGUUACUGGAAUUAGGACUUAUUCUAUGCAUCUGCUCUCCCACAAUAUGGCGCUGGGAGAGAAGAAAACAGCUUCUGCACAGCUGCCUCCAGUUCAGCCAAUAAACUGUAGGACUUGCUCCUGAUUGGAGGAGAGCAGCGUACUCGGCGUGUGGGCAGCCGAGUUAGGAUUGGCGGAGGAGGACUAUAAAGGGGGAGGGAGACGGCAUGCACCGGGAACAUCUAAGGGGAACAUCUAAGGGGAACGCCUGUGCAGCCCCCGAGAGAGCCGGCCGGCGGUGUGCUGCUCCCCUGCGGAAGUGGGGAAUGUGGCCAGGGGGAACCGCCCUUCCACGGAGGUGGAAGGGACAGUAGCCAACCCGGGAAGAACCAGCAGCAAACCCGGGGAGGGCCGAGCAGACGAAAGAACAGCGCAGGAUCCUGUGUCGUUCCUCCACGAAGACGGGGAGCGACACAAAGCCAAGGAAGGAAGGAAGGGAAGGAAAGAAAAAGUGCUUUGUGUUGUAAAGUGAAAUAUCAGAGUUCAUGUCACACAAUUUUAACUCAAAGUAUGAAUAAACAAAUUCAAAAUUUAUAAAAAGAGAAAAAGAAAAUAUGACCAGUAGACAUAUUUUAUUAUGCAAUCUUCAUUAUUUGGGAGCUAUUUUCUCAAAAAUUAACAGCAUGAUUCUUCAUAGAAAAUAGCAAAGAGUGUUUAUUGUCAGUGAUAAAAUUUGAAUUUUAAAUGAAAGCUCUAAAUUUAAAAAACUUUAUCUGUCACCAUGAAAUUUUCCCAAGACUUUCCAGAUGACAGCAAUGAUGUCAUGUGGCUUUUUGAUAUUUUAUAAUGAAAUAUGUCAACAUUUGGCAGAUCUAUUUAACUUAGUGAACUAACAUUUUCUAAGUAAUUAGCAUAUGAUGUUACAAAAUCAUACACUGGUGAAAAAUGUCCUUAAAGUAAGAGACCAGUGGAUUUUAAUGUAGCAGAAAAUGAAAAGUUUAUUUAGAUGGCUUCAAAUUUCUCAUUACAUCUGUCUUUUAAGAACCUAUUAUUAGUUUGAGUUUUGGUGCAAUUGUAUCAAAGAAGAAUAUCUGUAAUUAUUUGAAAGCUUUUAAAAUUAUUCUUCCUUUUUCAAUUAUAUAUCUGUAAGUAGGCAAUUUUCUUUAACUAGUUGGACCAAAACAACAUAUCACAACAGACAAUAUAAAGGAAGAUAUGAGAAUCUACCCUUCCAUUAGGCCAGGGAUUAUAGAUUUUCAAAGAAGUGAACAAUGUCAAUAUUAUAUUUGUUUCAUUUUUGAGAAUAUAACUGUUAUCUUAGAAAUUAUUUAUGCUAACAUGGAAUUAUUACUUUUAAUAAAUUUUAAAUGUGCCUAUUUUAAUUUUCAAUAAAAAUAAAUAAAAGCUUUUGAACUUCUUUGAGACCACAAAGUUCAAAAGUGCUGUCUUAGUGAAAACUCAACAGAAAUAAUGUGUAUCAGAACACUAUAGAAAAGCAUAAAAAUAUUCAUAAUAGCAUUGUUAGGAAUAUUUGUAAUACCAAAAUUCUCUCAAAAAUGCAGCAGUAGAAGAAUGGAUAAAUACAUUGUGGUGUAAUCAUGUCACAUGUUUCACGAAAAGACUGAAUAAGUAAUAAUUAUAUGAAAAAACAAGGUUAAAUCUCCAAGGAAUACAAUAUUAAAAUUAACUGUCCAAAACCAAAGUAAAUUACAGCUAAUUAUUUACGGGUAGAUGUUGUUAGGAGACAAUUCUUGGGUUUCUCACAGUUGUGCACAUCCUUGUACUGGAAUAUCUAGACUAUAAUUUUCAAGGAUUUUGGAGAGUGCGCAGCCUUUGAAGACAGAGAAGGUAGACUGUUCUUGAGCAAAGGGCUCAUGUGCUUACAGUCUAGAAACACGGGGGUAGUAGCUCCCUCUAAAGCAAAUUACUGACCAAAUUCACUAAAAGCUCAGAGUUUCUCUCUUUGUUGCAAGCUGUUGCCUGUGCAGGCAUUACAUUACUCAUUGAAUAUUUUUUUUAAAUUUUUAUAGACUUUUUUUUUUUGAUAGGCAGAGUGGACAAUGAGAGAGAGAGAGAGAGAGACAGAGAGAAAGGUCUUCCUUUUUGCUGUUGGUUCACCCUCCAAUGGCCACUGGCUGGCGCACCUCGCUGAUCUGAAGUCAGGAGCCAGGUGCUCCUCCUGGUCUCCCAUGGGGUGCAGGGCCCAAGCACUUAGGCCAUCCUCCACUGCACUCCCGGGCCACAGCAGAGAGCUGGCCUAGAAGAGAGGCAACUGGGACAGAAUCCACCCCGACUGGGACUAGAACCUGGUGUGCCGGCGCCGCAGGCAGAGGAUUAGCCUAUUGAGCCGCGGCGCCAGCCACUCAUUGAAUAUUGAUCAUCUAUAGCCACAUAGGUACAAGAAUGCUGCUAAUCUGGCUACAGUUAAUGCUGUAGUAAACUGUGCUUUGUUUCUUAUGCAGGUUUCUCAUGUCUCUACCAGUACCGAUGAGUAACUUUGUUAACUUUCAAGUACAGUAAAUUUUCAGACCUUUCACAGGUCGGACAUUCAGUCAUCAAUAAAACAAUAUAUUUGAUGGUGAUGAUAACGACUUACAUUUGUUGAUUCUUUAAUAUCAAGAAAUUGACAAAUCUAUAUAGGAGACACCCCAAAAAUUAUGAUGUUAUAAAGAGACAAACUGUUCAGAAAGCUUCAAGGUGCAAGUGAUGGGAGCCGGCAUUUUAGGAUAAUGGGUAAAGCCACCACCUAAAGUGCAGGCAUCCCAUAUGGGCACUGGUUCAAAUCCUGGAUGCUCCACUUCUGAUCCAGCUCCCUGCUAAUGUGCCUGGGAAAGCAGAGGAAGAUGGCCCAAGUGCUUGGGCCCCUGUUCCUAUGUGGGAGACCUGGAGGAAGCUCCUGGAGGCUUCAGCCUGACCCACCCCUGGCCAUUGCAGCCAUUUGGGGAGUGAAUCUGCAGAUGGAAAAUCUGUCUCUCCCUCUCUACCUCUGCCUCUCCUUCUCUGUAACUCUGACAUUCAAAUAAAUAAAUCUUUUUUAAAAAAAAGUUCAAGAGAUGAAGAAAGAGAAAGACAAAAAAAAAGGAAUGUGUUUACGGAUGAGAAUCUCUCUGAAAAAGAAUUUUUUUAAGAUUUAUUUAUUUAUAUGAAAGUCAGAGUUACACAGAGAGAGAACAGAGGCAGAGAGAGAGAGAGAGACAGAGAGAGAAAGAGAGAGAGGUCUUCCAUCCACUGCUUCAUUCCCCAAUUGGCAGCAAUGGCCUCAACUGCGCCAAUCCGAAACCAGGAGCCUGGAGCUUCUUCUGGGUCUCCCACAUGGGUGCAAGGGCCCUUGGGCCAUCCUCUACUGCUUUCCCAGGCCAUAACAGAGAGCUGGAUCAGAAGCAGAGCAGACGGGACUCAAACCUGCACCCACAUGGGAUGCCAGUACUGCAGACAGUGGUUUUUCCUGCUACGCCACAGUGCCAGCCCCAAGAAGAAAAUUUACACUAAGACCUAAAUGUUGAAAGAAGCAAAUCAUGUGAAUACAAAUAAAGGCUCAAAUCACAACAAUUUGAGAUGUUCAAAGAAAUGAAGAUAAUCUGGGGGUAGUGAGAAGAUGCCAGAGAAGUUGUGAGUAGAUACUUUGUAGACAGCCUUGAGUGCCUUGUAAAUGAGUCUAAAUUUUUUGCUGAGUGAAAUAACAAACCGAAAAACAGGUUUUCAACUCUAUUACAUUUACCCUUCACCAAAAGUAUUAGCUGCUGAAUAGUGAAUGGGUUAAGAGGAAAUAAGAAUGGAGGAAGAAGACAAACUAGGAAACUACUGAAGUGAACUACAAGAGAGAUGACAGUGAACUAGACAGGAGCUGAGGCAGUGCAGUGACGGAUACAUACAAGCACUGAGAAUAUUUGGAUAAAAGUUUCCAACAAAUUCUCAUCAAAUUUCAGAUGUAGAAGCUGAGGAACAAAAAAGACUGAAUACUCACAGGCUUGAUUCACUUAAGAAGAUGGCAUUUGAUAAAAUGGUGAGGGUCCUUAAUGGUGGGUGAUUAAGACAGCAGAGGCUUCCAGCUGCCCACAAAUAUCCUAUCUCCUGUAUUAACAAGACCCUUAUAAUACAUGGUUCAGGAUUAUGCCCAAACAAAACAAAAUGAAACAUUCCCUAGCUUACUGUGGCCAAGAAUAUGAGGACAAUUCAAAGCUUGAUUAUCAUAUAAAUGGUAUAAUGUCCAUCUCACAAAGGUUUGCAUGAGUAUCAAAUAAGAUAACGCGUUCCUUUGAGGCUGGUGCUAUGGAAUCUCAUAUGGGCGCCGGUUUGAGUCCCAGCCACUCCACUUCUGAUCCAGCUCCCUACUAAUGCACCUGGGAGGGCAGCAGAGGAUGGCCCAAGUCCUUUGGCUCCUGUACCUACAUCGGAAACCAGGAAGAAGCUCCUGGCUCCUCUCUUCAGCUAGGUCCAGGCCAGCUCUGGCUGUUGCAGCCAUUUGGGGAGUGAAACAGUGAUGCAUGAUGGAUCUCUCUGUCUCUCUCUCUAACUAUGCCUUUCAAACAAACAAAAAAUAAAAAAGCAUAAGACAUCACAUAUAGCUUUCAUGAAAGCAUUUUCUCCAUUAAUACUUCCUGGAUGUGCCACUCAAAACUCCACAGUGUCCUGGUUCUCUCUCAUUGGAUUGAUGAAUGAAAAGGAAACCAAUUUAACACACUCUUAUAAAGAACAGUAAAAGAAUAGUAUUCUAAAGAAUGAAUGCUUUGUCACUAAAGGUGUUAA